rnacentral:lncRNA from 1 species
GCUCAUCUCACAACAAGUGGAACUUUUAACGCAACAAAUCAAAGAGUUAAGAGAACCGUCAAAAGCUAAACAAAUAGCUUGUUGUGAACUUUGUAAAGGUGAACAUGACACCGGAUUUUGUCCACCUCCCGGCUUUGACGAAGUGAACUAUAUGGCCAAUCAACGGGACUAUCAACCAAGACAACAACAACCUUAUCAACCGCACCCUCA